rnacentral:tmRNA from 1 species
CCUGGCUUCGACGUGGGUCACGAAACCGGAGGUGCAUGCCGAGGAACAGAGUACCUCGUAAAUCCAUCUGUAACACAUAUAGUUGCCAACGACGACAACUACGCUUUAGCCGCUUAAAAACCGGUGUAAAGCCCUCUGACUGAAGCCGUGUCUGUGCGUUCAGGUUUCAGGGGUCAUCUCUCACAGAAUCGUGCGGAAACAUGUCCGGGGUGGAUGCACUAAAACUUAACCGGAAUCGCGGCCAGUUUGCCCCGCCCGUCGGGUUGCUGGUCGUUAAAAUUAAUAGGCGCGGAUAAGCAUGUAGAACCAAAGGCAGAGGAUUUGCGGACGCGGGUUCGAUCA